rnacentral:rRNA from 1 species
UACGAAGGGGGCUAGCGUUGCUCGGAAUUACUGGGCGUAAAGGGCGCGUAGGCGGCGCAUUUAGUCAGGCGUGAAAGCCCUGGGCUCAACCUGGGGACUGCGCUUGAUACGGGUGUGCUAGAGGACGGAAGAGGGUCGCGGAAUUCCCAGUGUAGAGGUGAAAUUCGUAGAUAUUCGGAGGAACACCAGAAGCGAAGGCGGCCAACUGGCCCGAUACUGACGCUGAGGCGCGAAAGCGUGGGGAGCAAACAGG